ACAAACAUAAACAACUCUGUGCCGCGUAUGCCGCAGAUGCCGUUCUAGCUCUGGAAGUUCCGUCGGCUUCCAGGGCAGGACAAUUAAUUCGCUUCUGGAAGAGUACGACACAAAAGUCCUGCGUCAGGAUGGUCCGAUCAUCAGUGGAAAGUUUGAAUGAUGUUCCGGAAUUGGUGACCUCUACCGCAAAAUGUCAUCCAACCCGUACGACUUGACCGUGGAAUACAAAUUUCCAGCAGAGCCAUAUGAAUUUUCUUGCUGGUCUACAGGUGGCGGCCGACAGUGAUUUAAUGGCAACAGGUCAACAUCUAUUCAUCGGUCAAUCCGGUUACCUUUGCGGCACACUGAUCAAACCAGAUUUAUUAUUCGAUGGAAUCUGGAAGCGAAAAAUUAUCUUGAACGAUGUAAAAUGUGGAGAUUAUGCAGCGUGAAAUAAAAAUGGUCCUAUAUCGAAGCCCACCUUUCCGGAGAAGGUUUCACGGCUGUAUCGAACUACGACGCUUGACACUGUUUUUUUAUAUCAGCCUGAAUGCCACUUUCAACCGGGAAUAACCUCUUUCAUCGCCCCAUUGAGUGUCCUAUCUUCCAAACCUGCCCCUUACAAUGCUUCAUCCUCGGCCACCUAGUCACACCGUUCACACCGCGGUGACACACCGUUAACACCGCUUGUGCUGUCUCCUCCGGUCUUGAGCGAUUCGAAGUCAUCAUCAAGUCAUCAAUACAUAAAAGUUUCUCAUUGAACAGCAUCUAUAAUCAGCUUUAUGGCAUAGAUCUAUCGGUCGCAGCCACGCGAGAUCCGAUCACCUCGAUCGCGAUACAAAAGAUCGUCCCUUUCUGGCCAAUAACAAUCAGUUUAAAGAUUAACACCUCGACCAAGAAGCAGUGGAAAUUACUGUUGAAUCAAAAGUCAAUCAAGUACACGAGUUCUGGUUAAGAGUUGAAGAAAUGUUGAUCAAUAGCUGAAGAAGGAAAAUCGGAUUCCAGGCACUGGCAUAUUAUGGGUUUACUAUCAAAGAAAGUCCGAAUUAGUCAAAUUAGUCCGAAUGUGUCCAGUGAUGAUUUUGGAAGGAUAGCGAAAGUUCAACAGAAGAUAUGAAAUCAGGUGGAAAUUAUCAACAGACAGCGUUCUAUGCUGCCGUAUCCAGACUGACCAGACCAGACAAACAUUAGCUUGAUUCCGUUGCUAAUCUACAAGGUCUCAAUGUAGUGCAAAUCGAUCGUUCGGAAGAACCCUCAGUAGACUGCGUUACUAAUGACGUAGUGAUGGACCGUACUGAAUAGUGACGACUGUUGACGACUGAAUAAAUAAAUAAAUUUAAUUUGAGAAAUGA